UACGGAGGAUGCGAGCGUUAUCCGGAUUUAUUGGGUUUAAAGGGUGCGUAGGCGGCCUUGUAAGUCAGCGGUGAAAUUUUGCAGCUUAACUGUAAAAGUGCCGUUGAUACUGUGAGGCUAGGAUUUGGUUGUAGUGUGCGGAAUGUGUCAUGUAGCGGUGAAAUGCAUAGAGAUGACACAGAACACCGAUAGCGAAGGCAGCUCACAAAGCUAUUACUGACGCUGAUGCACGAAAGCGUGGGGAUCAAA
rnacentral:rRNA from 1 species